rnacentral:rRNA from 1 species
AACGUAGGGGGCAAGCGUUGCCCGGAUUCACUGGGCGUAAAGCGGGUGUAGGCGGUCCUUUAAGUCAGAUGUGAAAUCCUGCGGCUCAACCGCGGAACUGCAUCUGAUACUGGCAGGCUUGAAUCCGGGAGAGGGAUGCGGAAUUCCAGGUGUAGCGGUGAAAUGCGUAGAUAUCGGGAGGAACACCAGUGGCGAAGGCGGCUGCCUGGGCCAGUUCUGACGCUGAGGCGCGAAAGCGUGGGGAGCAAACAGG